rnacentral:rRNA from 1 species
AACGAACGCUGGCGGCAGGCUUAACACAUGCAAGUCGAGCGCCCCGCAAGGGGAGCGGCAGACGGGUGAGUAACGCGUGGGAAUCUACCUAGCUCUACGGAAUAACCCAGGGAAACUUGGACUAAUACCGUAUACGUCCUUCGGGAGAAAGAUUUAUCGGAGUUGGAUGAGCCCGCGUUGGAUUAGCUAGUUGGUGGGGUAAUGGCCUACCAAGGCGACGAUCCAUAGCUGGUCUGAGAGGAUGAUCAGCCACACUGGGACUGAGACACGGCCCAGACUCCUACGGGAGGCAGCAGUGGGGAAUAUUGGACAAUGGGCGAAAGCCUGAUCCAGCCAUGCCGCGUGAGUGAUGAAGGCCCUAGGGUUGUAAAGCUCUUUCACCGAUGAAGAUAAUGACGGUAGUCGGAGAAGAAGCCCCGGCUAACUUCGUG